CCUACGGGUGGCAGCAGUGGGGAAUAUUGGGCAAUGGGCGCAAGCCUGACCCAGCAACGCCGCGUGAAGGAAGAAGGCUUUCGGGUUGUAAACUUCUUUUCUGAGGGACGUAGAGAGUGACGGUACCUCAGGAAUAAGCCACGGCUAACUACGUGCCAGCAGCCGCGGUAAGACGUAGGUGGCAAGCGUUAUCCGGAUGCAUUGGGUGUAAAGGGCGUGUAGGCGGGAAAGCAAGUCAGAUGUGAAAAUUUAGGGCUCAACCCUGAGACUGCAUUUGAUACUGUUUUUCUUGAGUGCAGGAGAGGCAAUCGGAAUUCGGGGUGUAGCGGUGAAAUGCGUAGAUAUAAGGAGGAACACCAGUGGCGAAGGCGGAUUGCUGGACAGUAACUGACGCUGAGGCGCGAAAGCGUGGGGAGCAAACAGGAUUAGAUACCCGGGUAGUC
rnacentral:rRNA from 1 species